rnacentral:rRNA from 1 species
AUUGAACGCUGGCGGCAGGCUUAACACAUGCAAGUCGAGCGGUAACAGGCCUUCGGGUGCUGACGAGCGGCGGACGGGUGAGGAAUGCAUAGGAAUCUGCCUAUUAGUGGGGGAUAACACGGGGAAACUCGUGCUAAUACCGCAUACGUCCUACGGGAGAAAGCGGGGGAUCGGAAGACCUCGCGCUAAUAGAUGAGCCUAUGCCGGAUUAGCUAGUUGGUAGGGUAAAGGCCUACCAAGGCGACGAUCCGCAGCUGGUCUGAGAGGAUGAUCAGCCACACUGGGACUGAGACACGGCCCAGACUCCUACGGGAGGCAGCAGUGGGGAAUAUUGGACAAUGGGCGCAAGCCUGAUCCAGCCAUGCCGCGUGUGUGAAGAAGGCCUUCGGGUUGUAAAGCACUUUAAGUGGGGAGGAAGGUCAGUAAGUUAAUACCUUAUUGAAUUGACGCUACCCACAGAAUAAGCACCGGCUAACUCUGUGCCAGCCGCCGCCGUAA